GAGUAUUUUUCCGCCUCGCGCUAAGGAUUCUGGAAACAAGGAAGGACCGCGAUAGAGGGUCACCUUCUCGCGAGAUUUGCGCCUGGGACGGCGGAGUCUUAUUCAGAGACCGGCUCCUCAAACUGAAGGACUAGGUUCCACGGCGGUGGGAGAGCAAAGUGAUUUUUAAAUUCCGGGCAGCUGCUGAAGGUCUUGUCUCUGUGCUUUAAGAAAACCCCCUUAUUGCACCAAAGACAUCUCAAGAAUUAUUUCUUGGCUGUUGGCUCCAAAACUCAACAUCUUUCCUAUAUCAAGAGACAUUUGGUGGCAGCAGUGGGAUCCAAAGCAAAUCUCCAUCAACAUUCAGGGACAAUGAGAAACACAAGCAUGGCGCCCUGUUAACCCUUUUGAAUUCACUUUCUUGCUGUUUUCAAAGGCCAUUGAGAAACUAAAAGAUAUUUGGAUGUGUUAGUGCCACAUUGGAAAAGGCACAUGCUUCUAGAAAUUAUGAAAUGUAUUUGUAAAUUUGCCAACCUAAAGAAUGCUGGUGUUACAAGGUUGCAGUUUUCUUGUCUCACGGAGGCGAAGAAUGAAUCUCGUGGACACAAAAGGGUGAAGUGAUAGUUUAUUAAGUUAAGAGGCUUCACACCUCCCUCUGGACCCUUUGAACACCUGCAGUUGGACUUCAUUCAACUGUCACUUAGUAUGGGUUACCACUAUGUUCUUAUUCUUAUAUGUGUGUUUUUCGCAUGGAUUGAAGCUUUCCCUUAACUGCAAGACUGAUGUCCUCAUAGUGGCAAAAAACUGUUAGAAAAUGUGUUUUCUACUUGGUAUACCGUCCAUGAUCUCCAGUGAUCAAGAUACCUCUGCUUCCCUGGGAAAAUCUUAUAAGCCUUAAUGAAAACCUUGAAAACUUUUUGGAAUUAUCACUCUCCCCAUCACUUCAAUCAUCAGACAAGGUUGAGAGAACUAAUGGGAUCCUCAAACUGAGCAUUUCUAAACUUGCCAAAACUAUUGGACUUCGCUGUUCUAAGAUAUUGCCCUUGGUCUUACUGACUGCUAGAAGUUACCCCUUUGGGAAGUAUAACCUCACACCAUGUGAGAUAGUCAUAAGCAGACCAUUGUAUAUUGGUGUACAAUCUUCUGCUGAUCCCUUGUUGUCUCAUACUGGUAUGACUGACUACUGUAAGUCUCUCAUAUCUUAUGCUCAAGCCUGUCAACAGGUUAUAGAAGCCUUUGUGGAUCCCAAUUUAAAGGAUCCUGUUGGUCACAGUCUAAAGCCUGGUGACGAGGUAUUCUGGAAACAUCAUCAGAGGAAGACACUCCUUGAGCUCAGUUGGAAGGGACUUUACCAAGUUUUCCUGACUGCUGACACUGUUGCAAAACUAGAAGACGCUGGAGAUCUCUGAAUCAAAUUGACAAGGAAGAGGAGUAGCUGACAUUGAAGUAACUGAUUCAGCCCACGACAGUGGAUCAACUUCAUAUUUUAACUAAAUAUGAAACCCUUUCCCCUUCUUUUCUCUUCCUUUACUUUGGCAUUGCCUAGAAAGAUAAUGCCUUCCUCUGUAUCUCUCAGGCCAUUGCUAAGAGGGGGUAAUCUAGAAUUUAUUUCAGGUUAGAAGAAAAUCUAACUGUGCCCCUAAUUUUUCACAAGCAAAAUAAGAGAUCUCUUUGGUUGACUCCCCCGAAUUUACAUUGUUGAGUUAGAAAGGACCUACCAAGGAGGCUUUCAUAAUUUAGGAUUCACUCCUUAUAGGAGGUCCCUAUUUCCCUGGUUAGGGAUAAAUGUAAAUGAGCCUAUGACCAAGAACUUCUCCUUAAUUCUUAAUUAUUGAAGAAUCUGCUGCUGAAGUAAUAGUGGCCCUACAAAGAUUCUUAGACUCUAUGGCCAAAGUUCUUGAUAAUAGAAUAGCCCUUAAUCAUCUUUUAUCUGAGCAAGGAGGUGUCUGUGUUGUGGCCAACACCAUUUGCUUUACCUGGAUUAACACUUCUGGGGCAAUUAAAACUCAAUUACAUAAAAUCGAGGGGGGAGCCACUUGGCUUAAAAAGUUCACUUUAGGUGGGGUGCCUGGGUGGCUCACUUGGUUGAGCAUCUGAUUCUUGGUUUCAGCUCAGGUCAUGAU